GUAUUUGGCUGCUUACUUGAUUUUAGUG
rnacentral:piRNA from 1 species